UACAGAGGGGGCGAGCGUUGUCCGGAAUUACUGGGCGUAAAGAGCUCGUAGGUGGUUUGUCGCGUUGUUCGUGAAAACUCACAGCUUAACUGUGGGCGUGCGGGCGAUACGGGCAGACUGGAGUACUGCAGGGGAGACUGGAAUUCCUGGUGUAGCGGUGGAAUGCGCAGAUAUCAGGAGGAACACCGGUGGCGAAGGCGGGUCUCUGGGCAGUAACUGACGCUGAGGAGCGAAAGCGUGGGGAGCGAACAGG
rnacentral:rRNA from 1 species